GACUCUCGGCAACGGAUAUCUCGGCUCUCGCAUCGAUGAAGAACGUAGCGAAAUGCGAUACUUGGUGUGAAUUGCAGAAUCCCGUGAACCAUCGAGUCUUUGAACGCAAGUUGCGCCCGAGGCCACUCGGCCGACGGCACGCCUGCCUGGGCGUC
rnacentral:rRNA from 1 species